AAGUUGGUAGAAACAAACCAUAAAGUUGGGUCGCAAUUGGUACUGGUUGACAAGAGCCCUCCACCCCUUAGUGAGAACAUAGGUCUGGUUAGAUUUACAGAACUCAUAUUUCAUGAUACCAUGCAAUGUUCUGGUGAUCGAAGGACACAAGGGUCUCUUUCUUGUAUUUGUCUUUGGCAAUCUUCAGGUAAGGAAAGUAUGUCUCUGCAAACAUUCUUGGGAUGAGAAGCCUAUUGAUAUUGUUCAUGUUGCUUUGAACCCCAUCUUCUCGAAUAAGAAUUAUGUUAACCUUGGUGCAUUUGUGUUACUCGAAAAAUCAUACACUUCUUCUAUUGGGCCAAGCAUCAGAAGAGUGUAGAAAUUUAUAUCUAACAAAGAAAUGUGGAUUGUGGGAAAUGGCAACAAUAUUAAUUUUUGAAAGAAUAACUGGAUUGGGGAUUCUUCUAUUAUGGAGCAUCUAAAUAUGGGAGAAGAGGCCUUUUCUGAAUCAAAGCUUGAGGUCACCAAUGUCAUCACAGAUAACCAGUAGAACCUUCCUGAGUGCUCUCCUUCAGGGAUUUUCUCCACUACUUCAUUGAUUUGGGGAUCUAAGCUUCAGCCAAGACAAAAAAAUCUUUGCUUGGAGGCUUAUGAAUGGUAAGCUGCCCACCAAUGAACAGAUCAAAGCCAAGGGUGUCACCCUCCCCUCUCAGUGCUCUUUUUGCUUGAAGGGUGAGGAAACGGUGAUGCAUCUUUCCUUAGAGUGCAGAUUCAUGGCGGAGGUUUGGAACAUGUUCCUUUCGUGUUUUAAUUUGACCUAGCCUAAUCACUCAAGUAUCCUUGAUGCUUGUGGAUUGCAUUCAUGGUUUUUAAGUAAGAGGGUGGUUGCCAGUAGACCCACCUUCUACAGAAACAAGCGAGUCGAAUAAAGGUUGGUCAGAUUUUGGUUUGCUUAACCCUUUGAUUUGGGUGUGACUGCUUGUUUAAAUCCAUUGAUUCAGCCAACAUAAUUGGUGUUUUCAGUGAUAGAACUUGUUUUGGCGUCCUGUUUUUCAAUUUUAAUAUUUACUUAUGUCUA